GGGACGUUGACGCGCAGGCGCGUCUUCAUUUGGCUCGCGCGCCGAAUGCAUGAUUCGCGCAAAACUUACUUAUUCCCUUAUGAAUUUGGAGUACACGGCGAACACAAAACAGCAUUUGCAAGAUGCCAAGAAGCUUCUGGUAAUUUAGUUUCCAGAAGCAGCAGAACCUCCAGUAAUCGAGGAUAUUCGCGUGCUCGGAAACACGCAUAUUCUUAAUUCUUCGGGCAAAGUUAAACAUCAUCAGCGUCGUCACUUGGCAGCUGCGCGCGUAGAAUAUAAAUAAGAAUAUGCAGUAGCAACAGGAGGGUCCAAAUAGAGCGAGUUCCCUUCCUCGCGCCGGAGGUUUAAAAUAGCUCCCGUCGUCGGACGAGCGCGUGCUCGUUUGAACAGUUGUUGCGCGAGCAGCAGGUGUUCGCAGCGGGUGACUUACAGCCCUCCUCGUGGAGGGUCUCUGUCAGAAAUCUCACUCAUUCAUGAGCGCGUGGGGGGGCGGGGAAGGACGCGCGGGAGUGUGUGUGUGUGUGUGUGUGUGUCGGUGGGUGCGUGGGUGGGGGGGUCUGACUGACACCUGUGUUAAGAGCAGAGCCGCCACUCGGCGCGACAGGUUCAGUUAGCGCACUGAGCUCCACGAAAUAUCGAGUCACUUGCGCUCCGACGCUUUGGCAAAGGCUGGGUAAAGUACCUGCUUCUUUACCGAGCCUGUGCCCUGUGAGCGCUGGUGCCCCGGCGGGCUGGAUGUGCAUGGAAGGGAAUGGGGAAAGCAGCUGAUUACAGCAGGGAUUCACAGCGCUCAUGGAAGCACACUGUUGCUGUGCUGCUGCUGCUCAUCCAGCUGCGCUGCUCAAAAGGAGGGACCCAGUGCCGAAUCCUCAGGUGUAACUCGGAGUUUGUGAGCGCGACCAGCAGGAGCCACGAGGGUGGCAACGAGGGCUACUGCAGCGCCCUGCGCUCCUACGCCCUGUGCACCCGGCGGACAGCCAGGGCCUGUCGUGGUGACCUUGCCUACCACUCGGCCGUGCAGGGGAUCGAGGACCUCCUGAUGCAGUACGACUGCCCCAAGACGGGUCCCACCGCCCAGCACCGCCCCCCAUCGCAGACCCCGCUCUCUGGCGACGCUUGUUUCUACGAGAGGGCCUUUCAGCAACGUGAAGGCCGCCUCCCCGAGUACUUACAUUGUGGGGUUUUUGGGGACCCCCACAUACGCACCUUCAACAAUGAGUUUCAGACCUGUGUAGUGGAGGGUGCGUGGCCGCUGAUCGAUAACGAGUACCUGUACGUACAGGCCACCAGCACGGCCGUGGCAGGCCGGGAACGCACCACGGUACUCAGCAAGGUCACCGUCAUCUUCAAGAAUUGGCGCGAGUGCAUCGAGCAGCAGAUCUACCAGGCAGAGCUGGACAAUGUACCGGGUGCCUUCGUGGACGGCUCCGUGAGCGACGGCGAGCGGCGUGGCCACCACAGCCUACAGGUGCGCAGCCAGGCUCCCGGGCGCCACGCGGAGAUCUGGGCCGCGCACAUUGGGACCACCCUGGUGGUUAGACAGACGGGACGCUCACUGGGCCUGUCGGUGCGCUCCCCUCGGGCUAUAGUGGACUCCUUCACCGCGGAGAAAGACCUACAGCUGUGCAUGUGGGGCUGCCCCUCCUCGCAGCGACUGGCUGGUCCCCCGGCAGAUCCCUCCGGCUUCGCUCACACCCACUGCUCUGGCGUCCUCCCCACCAAGGACAUUUACUUCCAAGCCUGUGUGCUGGAUGUCCUGGCCAGCGGGGACUCCAACUCGAGCACCGCUGCCGUUGCAGCCCUGGAGGACGCCCGCGCUAUGAUUUCCGAACCGGAGAAAGUGCACCUGCUGCUUGCGAGGACAGCUGAGCACCGCCCCCGCCUUACCGUGAUUUUCACUGUGGUGAUUUUCACGGGGCAAAUGGUUGAGGCCCUGUCUAUGCUCUGUGCAUAAUCAACAGACUUCAGUUUUUGUAAAAGGUUCUGCCUUCUGUAGCUUCUUCCAGUCAGAGAUUCCACCACUUUUUGGUGGUGCUGGUGAUACCACAAUGUCAUGCAUUAAGUUUCUCUCUACAAGGACAGAAACAAGCAAGUGGCAAAUUCAUUGUUCUCCCAGUUUUUUGUGCUCUCGGUUUGUUUCUGUAUGAUUUUCACUAUUCUGCUAUGGCGCGGAUUAUCUGAAUAUUUUGUGGUUAACAAUAUUUCAUAUGUUCUACAGAAAUGAUGACACUUGACCUGGAGUUAAAGUGCAGUAUUAAACAAUGUGGCACAAAGUGGUUUUGGAUCAUGUAAAUACAGUAUGUACAGUGUUAGUCGGCUGGCAUAACUCGUUUUGUGGAUGUUCCAUUACUGGCAGUUAUGUUUGCUCUACAUACCAAUGUGAGGUGUGUUAAAAAAUGAAUAAUAUAUUUGGUUUUCUGCCACACUCAUUCAAGAGAAAACCGUCUAGAAAAUUACAAUGUUUUAUGCAAUAUGUUUCUGCAUGUGUAAGUAAUAUAUGGCUGUAGUUAGAGUCAAAAAACGAUACAGCCAGAUUUCGAUUCAGAGACCAUCUUCUGUGCUGCCAGCACUGGGGUGAGAGUCCCUGGGUCGAGGGUUGCAAGCCUUCUUCGUUCGUACUGCCUUACCUACUGAAGACCACCUACUGAACAGGCAGAUGUGUCCCGAGAAGCACCUGACCACUCCAAAAACUGCAUGCAACAUAUGAACUCUUCUCCUCUGUGUGAGCAGACACUUGCCUUCACCCCCCCCUCCCAUUUCCACCAUUCCCUAUUGACACUGUGCCAGCCCUGUUUUUAAACAUUGCCCUUUUUAUUCAACUUGUUGCAUGUCUCUCUUUUUCGCAUUUUUCUUUAGUUUGAAGUCUGAAGGAACCUGUUGGAAAGGGUGCAAUACAAAGACAUAUUGAAUUGAAUCAUAGUUAUAUGAACUCAUAUUCGUUAUUAGUGGGAAUAUUUAAGGGAUCUUUUAUUUGUCACUACUGUUUUAUGUGCGCAAAUAUAAAAAUCUUAAUGAUGGAAUAAAGAUGAAUAUUCAGGCA
ensembl:lncRNA